rnacentral:rRNA from 1 species
CGGCGAGUGAAGCGGCAACAGCUCAAAUUUGAAAGCUGGCCCUUUCAGGGUCCGCGUUGUAAUUUGUAGAGGAUGAUUCGGCGAGGGCUCCCGCCUAAGUCCCCUGGAACGGGGCGUCAUAGAGGGUGAGAAUCCCGUAUGCGGUGGGCUGCCUUAGCCAUGUGAAUCUCCUUCGACGAGUCGAGUUGUUUGGGAAUGCAGCUCUAAAUGGGAGGUAAAUUUCUUCUAAAGCUAAAUACCGGCCAGAGACCGAUAGCGCACAAGUAGAGUGAUCGAAAGAUGAAAAGCACUUUGGAAAGAGAGUUAAAAAGUACGUGAAAUUGUUGAAAGGGAAGCGCUUGCAACCAGACUUGUCCGCAGUUGCUCAGCCGGUCUCCUGACCGGCGUACUCUUCUGCGGCCAGGCCAGCAUCAGUUCGGGCGGUCGGAUAAAGACCUCGGGAAUGUAGCUCCUCUCGGGGAGUGUUAUAGCCCGGGGUGGAAUGCGGCCAGCCUGGACUGAGGAUCUCGCUUCGGCAAGGAUGCUGGCGUAAUGGUUGUAAGCGGCCCGUCUUGAAACACGGACCAAGGAGUCUAACAUCUAUGCGAGUGUUUGGGUGUCAAACCCAUACGCGUAAUGAAAGUGAACGGAGGUGGGAACCCGUAAGGGCGCACCAUCGGCCGAUCCUGAUGUCUUCGGAUGGAUUUGAGCAAGAGCAUAGCUGUUGGGACCCGAAAGAUGGUGAACUAUGCCUGAAUAGGGUGAAGCCAGAGGAAACUCUGGUGGAGGCUCGCAGCGGUUCUGACGUGCAAAUCGAUCGUCAAAUUUGGGUAUAGGGGCGAAAGACUAAUCGAACCAU